GAUGAACGCUAGCUACAGGCUUAACACAUGCAAGUCGAGGGGAAACGACAUCGAAAGCUUGCUUUUGAUGGGCGUCGACCGGCGCACGGGUGAGUAACGCGUAUCCAACCUGCCCACCACUUGGGGAUAACCUUGCGAAAGUAAGACUAAUACCCAAUGACGUCUCUAGAAGACAUCUGAAAGAGAUUAAAGAUUUAUCGGUGAUGGAUGGGGAUGCGUCUGAUUAGCUUGUUGGCGGGGUAACGGCCCACCAAGGCGACGAUCAGUAGGGGUUCUGGGAGAAAGGUCCCCCACAUUGGAACUGAGACACGGUCCAAACUCCUACGGGAGGCAGCAGUGAGGAAUAUUGGUCAAUGGGCGAGAGCCUGAACCAGCCAAGUAGCGUGCAGGAUGACGGCCCUAUGGGUUGUAAACUGCUUUUAUAAGGGAAUAAAGUGAGUCUCGUGAGACUUUUUGCAUGUACCUUAUGAAUAAGGGCCGGCUAAUUCCGUGCCAGCCGCCGCAGUAA
rnacentral:rRNA from 1 species